UAACUGCUGAAGCCUCCAGCUGGAACUAAGUGAUCUUUUCUUUAGCCGCAUACUCCUCUCCAAAGCUUUUCAGAAUCUCGAAAAAGAACAUUGGUGACAUUAGUAACUUAGCAAUGACCUCAGGGAAUGACACAGCCCAAUCAGCUGGGCAUCUCCACGAUCAGUGAAGUAUGAGGGUCAGGAAGCAGGGCUGCAGCCAGGCUUGAGACCGGUGCCCUCUCCUCCCCGUCGGAAGCUCAUGGGCUCUCCUGGUUUCCCCUAGAGGACACUGAAGGAAGAGAAGCUUGACUUCUGGUCGGCCAGCUUGGGCUACAUAGUGAGAAAUGGCUCAAAACUAAAAAAGAAGGCCAAUGAGAUGCUCAGCAGAUAAAGGCACUUGUCACCAAGCCUGACAACCUGCUCAGUCCUACAAGGCCACAAGAAGAACCAACUCUUGGGGAAGUUGUCCACUGAACUGCACGCACAACGUAGCACUGUAUGCUUCUCCACACACAUAAAUAAAUAAGGAGGGCCAGAAGAGAACAUCAGAUCCCUGGAGACUGAAGUUGCAGACAUUUGUGAGCUACCAUGUGGGUGCUGGGAAUCAAACCUGGGGCUUCUGGAAGAGCAGCCUGUGCCCUCAGCGGCUGAGCCAUCCCUCCAGCACGCUCCAAAAAAGGGAUCGAUUCUUGUGUGGCAGAAACAGAAUGUCUGCUUCCUUGCUUCACUGACUCCAUUCCCUUCAGCUCUCUUUCUGAGGAUAAGAACACCACACCACACUGCGGAGAAUGACCUGGCUUGAGGCCACCCCACCUGGACUGUGAGACAAUUGGUGGCUGGACUCAAGGCUAGGCUCCUUGGGGAAGGGCCUUGUCCCCAAAGAAGUGGCCGAAGACAAAGUCCUCAAAGUCAUCCACUUCAUCAUCGUCGCCUGUCUGUUUCAGUGCCACCUCCUCCAGGCUGUCCUCCAAGGCAUCCACAAAAUCUCUGAAGCGAAGCCGGUCAUGCCUGAAGAUGCCAUCUUCUCCAAAGUAAGCAGCCACCACCUGACGGAGCUGUCUCCCGGUCCUGUGUGUCUGGUCCGAGGCUCGUCGCCACAGGAGUCUCCUGCGAAUCUUCCUGGACCACUGUGUCUCCAGGGGCCUCCGUCCCAUGACCAUCGGCUCCCAGAGUGCCCUGAUGUGGAUGAGGCUGUGAGGCGUGCUCUCUCCACUCCCCCCCCCC
rnacentral:lncRNA from 1 species